rnacentral:rRNA from 1 species
UACAGAGGUCUCAACCGUUGUUCGGAUUCAUUGGGCGUAAAGGGUGCGUAGGCGGUCGUGCAAGUCGGAUGUGAAAUCUCAGGGCUCAACCCUGAAACUGCAUUCGAUACUGCGUGGCUAGAGUGCUGGAGAGGAGACUGGAAUUUACGGUGUAGCAGUGAAAUGCGCAGAUAUCAGGAAGAACACCGGUGGCGAAGGCGGAUCUCUGGGCCAUUACUGACGCUGAGGAGCGAAAGCGUGGGGAGCGAACAGG